AUGACAAAGAAACAACUUUAAUACAGUGAGGAUACUGGGGAACAGACCAGAUGUGAGCAGACAGGGAAGUCUUUAGCAAAACUGUGGAGUGCCCAAAGCUUGGCUUCUGAUGCGUGGAGCCUUUCCGUUUUGUGUUCUUCCUCCUCACUCCACAUCCCACCCAAGAAACCUGGUAUUUUAAUAUUCUCCUCUUUGCUCCAUUAAAGCAUCAAACAUAUUCACACAAGGUUUACGUGACCAAGGAGUGCAAGAUAGGGAUUAAAAAAUAGACUUGAAAUACCAGCUCUGCCAUCUGCUAACUUUCUGACCAUUUUGGGCCUCAAGUUCCUCACCAACAAAGUGAGAAUAAUGAUACUACCCAGCAGGUUGUUACCGCUAUGUUUAUUAGUGUUCAUCCUAUUGGAGCAAGCUGACUGCUAACAACUUUAAAAUCAUGAUGGCUUAACACAAGUUUGUUUCUCACUAACACAGAGUCUAGUGUCGAUGGUCCUGAUCGGGUGGCUUUCUGGUGACCUGAGGACUCAAGGAUACUGCCCUUGCAUUUUAAGGUGCCACUGUCUUCAACACAGGAUCUUUAGGUUUUCGUUUGAAAGUUGUGGCUGCUUUAACUUGGCUUGGAAGCAUUUCGUUGUUGAGAACUAGGACCCGAGAUCCAGGGUGGGAGCUGGAAUAGAAAACUUUGCUAUGUGCCCAGGUAGAGAUGUGAUGAGCAUCAAGCUAGUCUCUGCCACAUUAUUAUUAUGGCUGUUGCUGUUAUUGUAACUAAUCCUGUGUAUUGAAACGGCAGUCAUUUUCCAGAUGUAACUACGGACCCUAACAGUUCACUGAUGUUCAUGGCCAUAAUUCCAGGAAGCCAUUUCUGAGAGCUUAUGUACCUUAAAUCCCAGUUUGAGGUGUCUAGGGAAGAGACAAUAGUCCAUUAAGGAUGACAGCAGGGAAGUCUAGUAACUUCUCUCCUCUCCACGAUACUUAGCAUGGUGUUGGACACAGCAGGUGCUGACCCAGUGACUGUGGCACUUACUCAUGGUGGAUGCACUACUCUAUUUCCUUGGGUCCCUUUCCCAUUUUCACACCCCUUGGCUCCACGUUUGCUUUUACUCUCGGUAUCCAGAACCCAUGCUUCUUUGUGAGAGGGCUGCCCUCAUGCUUCUGGAGUCUCCUUUACCUGUGUGCAGAGAGAGUGGGGGAUACCUAGAAACAUGCAUCCCUCUGAGAUGGCCCUUGACCAAUGGAGGGAGGGGCUCUCAGUCUCCAAAUCUCCUCUGUGGGAGGAGCCAGUGCCCUGCAAGCAAGGAUAUUUACGUUGUGAACUGGUAAAAUCUGAACUGCAGAAUAUCAAUUUCCAGACAUUCUUCCUAGAUGAUGCCGUCUGCCACGGGUCUUUUGUGGAGUCUGGUGAUGCUCUUGUAUGGAGUUUAGCAUCUUCAAAUGGUUGAUGUAUUUAGAUUGUGUGUAAAGCUCUGUGCUUUCUGCUUGUUGUUGAAAUGCAGCCUGGUUUCCUGCAGGUCCCUUGGGGUGUGGGUGGGAGCUGAUGCCUUGGCUUGCAUUGUGGGGAAGCUCAGCACAGACCACAAGGCAGGGGCUCACUGUCCCACCUGCGUGUAGAGGCUGCCUCUUCCUCCUGGGUGUCAUCAGCCAUCCAAAGCUCUGACCUGGUCUCCACCCCAGAUUUCACACUGACAGGUACUGCUGGGUGCAGAAGCAUCACUUCCUGACCUGGAAAUCGUUCCUAAUAAUGCAACCGAAAGGCCAUCCCACAUUUUUUUCCUUCACGACACUGACCAUAAUGA
rnacentral:lncRNA from 1 species